rnacentral:rRNA from 1 species
GUCCACGCCCUAAACGAUGAAUACUCGCUGUUGGCGAUACACAGUCAGCGGCUAAGCGAAAGCGUUAAGUAUUCCACCUGGGGAGUACGCCCGCAAGGGUGAAACUCAAAGGAAUUGACGGGGCCCGCACAAGCGGUGGAGCAUGUGGUUUAAUUCGAUGAUACGCGAGGAACCUUACCAGGGCUUAAAUGUAGAUUGACAGGACUGGAAACAGUUUUUCUUCGGACAAUUUACAAGGUGCUGCAUGGUUGUCGU